rnacentral:rRNA from 1 species
AGUCUUAACCGGGCGUUAAGUUGCAGGGUAUAGACCCGAAACCCGGUGAUCUAGCCAUGGGCAGGUUGAAGGUUGGGUAACACUAACUGGAGGACCGAACCGACUAAUGUUGAAAAAUUAGCGGAUGACCUGUGGCUGGGGGUGAAAGGCCAAUCAAACCGGGAGAUAGCUGGUUCUCCCCGAAAGCUAUUUAGGUAGCGCCUCGUGAACUCAUCUCCGGGGGUAGAGCACUGUUUCGGCUAGGGGGCCAUCCCGGCUUACCAACCCGAUGCAAACUGCGAAUACCGGAGAAUGUUAUCACGGGAGACACACGGCGGGUGCUAACGUCCGUCGUGAAGAGGGAAACAACCCAGACCGCCAGCUAAGGUCCCAAAGUCAUGGUUAAGUGGGAAACGAUGUGGGAAGGCCCAGACAGCCAGGAUGUUGGCUUAGAAGCAGCCAUCAUUUAAAGAAAGCGUAAUAGCUCACUGGUCGAGUCGGCCUGCGCGGAAGAUGUAACGGGGCUAAACCAUGCACCGAAGCUGCGGCAGCGACAUUUAGGUGUUGUUGGGUAGGGGAGCGUUCUGUAAGCCUGUGAAGGUGGCCUGUGAGGGUUGCUGGAGGUAUCAGAAGUGCGAAUGCUGACAUAAGUAACGAUAAAGCGGGUGAAAAGCCCGCUCGCCGGAAGACCAAGGGUUCCUGUCCAACGUUAAUCGGGGCAGGGUGAGUCGACCCCUAAGGCGAGGCCGA